rnacentral:rRNA from 1 species
UACAGGGGGUGCAAACGUUGCUCGGAAUUAUUGGGCGUAAAGCGCGCGUAGGCGGCCUUUUAAGUCGGAUGUGAAAGCCCUCGGCUCAACUGGGGAAGUGCACCCGAAACUGAAAGGCUUGAGUACUGAAGAGGGUCGCGGAAUUCCCAGUGUAGAGGUGAAAUUCGUAGAUAUCAAGAGGAACACCUGAGGUGAAGACGGGUUGCUAGGCUGACACUGACGCUGAGGCGCGAAAGCCAGGGGAGCAAACGGG